GAAAAAUGACUUUAGGAGACUGGGGAGGUUAGUUGAAGGAGCAGGCAUACAGGUAGUAUUUGCCUGUAUUCCUACAAUGGCAGGGAAGGAUGCUGAGACCACCAGAAGAACACACCUUAUAAACACAUGGCUGAAAGGCUGGUGCAAAAGCAAGAAUUUUGGGUUCUUUGAUCAUGGGGCGGUCUACUCGGCACCUGGCCUGGGGUCUGCUGAUGGGUCUCACCUGUCUCGAAGGGGGAAACGGAUCCUUGCCCAAGAGCUGGCAGGACUGGUAGAGAGGGCUUUAAACUAGAUGUGGAGGGGGUAGGGGAUAAAACCAGGCCUGCUAGAGAUGAGCCUGGGGGAUCGGCGAUGGGAUUAGGGAUGAGGCGAGGGGCUCGGCUGAAGUGCAUCUACACCAAUGCACGCAGCAUGGGCAACAAACAAGAAGAGUUGGAAGCCAUGGUGCGGCAGGCAAGCUAUGACCUAGUUGCCAUCACGGAAACAUGGUGGGACUGCUCCCACGACUGGAGUGCUGCAAUGGAUGGCUACAAGCUCUUCAGGAAGGAUAGGCAAGGAAGAAGGGGUGGUGGUGUGGCUCUGUAUGUUAGAGAAUGCUUUGAUGUUACUGAGCUUGUGGCUGGGGAUGAUAAGGUUGAAUCCCUAUGGGUAAAGAUCAGGGGAAGGGCUGACAAGGCAGACGUAUUGGUGGGCGUCUGCUAUAGACCGCCGAACCAGGAUGAAGAGACAGAUGAGGUGUUCUAUGAGCAGCUGGCAGAAGCUGCGAGAUCGCCAACCCUUGUCCUCAUGGGGGACUUCAACUUCCCUGACAUAUGCUGGGAAUACGGCGCAGCGCAGAAGAAGCAGUCUAGGAGGUUUCUGGAGUGUAUAGAGGAUAACUUUCUGAUGCAGCUGGUGAGAGAGCCUACGAGAGGAGCUGCCCCACUAGACCUGCUGUUCACAAACAGAGAAGGUCUGGUGGAAGAUGUGGUGGUCGGGGGCUGUCUUGGACAGAGUGACCAUGAGAUGGUAGAGUUCUCGAUUCUUGGAGGAGCCAGGAGGAAGAACAGCAAAACUGUUACCUUGGACUUCCGGAGGGCGGACUUGGAGUUGUUUAGAAGACA
rnacentral:lncRNA from 1 species